UUCGUCUUGCCUUACGUGGCCUCGAAUCACGGGCAGAAAAGGUUCUGUAGUCCCUUGGACCUGGCGUACCUAGAACGGGCCAUAUUCACGAGGGAUCAACCAACUUUCGGUUUGAAAGGUCAGAAUUCGAGCGUCGGACAGUACGAGCGAUUGAGCUCCAGGACCUAAAAAUGUUUCUUGGGUCGUGGGAAAGAGAAUGUAACGGGCUGCCUCCGUGACGAUGCGUUUGACUAGCUGAAAAAAACUGGGGGCAGAUUGGUAAACAUGGGUAGCUGUGCGAAAAUCGACUGAUCUCUCCGCCCAUCUUGCCUUCUAUAUAUAUAACGAGACAAGGUCGUGAGAGCUCAUCAAUUUGUGUUGCUCCUAGGGGAGAGAGAGAGAGGGAAAGAGAGAGAGAGAGGGGUUGAAGUGAAGAUUAUGGGAGUCCUCCUAGUAAUGUUUCUUGCUCAAAUGAGUAUUCCAACCGCAGUUAGCUCCAAGAACUGGGACAGAACAGUUUGGUCGUGGUUGCUUUAGCAACUGAAACCUUCUGCUCUCUCUGAUGCUGCUGUCCUGAGAUGCUCAUUUGAGCAAGCAAUGUUAUAGGUGGAGGUUCUUUUGUUCGGACUCGCCAUCGUCCAGUGUGCUCUAUCCUUAUAAAUCUCGCUCUCUCGGAUUCAACGAUGUCAAUCAGCACGCUCCGUUGCACACUUGUCUGCCGUCCUGAUAAGUCCUAUUCCUCCCCCUUAUAAUAGCAUGUAUACACAAAAAUUAUUUGAAGUUCGCAUGAGAUCCCAGUCGAACAUAAGCACAACCACUCGGUAUUUUUCUUCUUCCAUGUAUGCCAACUGUUGACAUUGUUCGUGAUUUUACGGAGUAUGUUUACUCACUCAAGCUCUAAAACGAAGCUAGCAAUUUGGCUACAUCAUGAAUCUGGGGAUUUGAAGUUUCCUUCUUUUCCUCCUGAACCUCAGGAGAUUUGACUGAAAGGCUGUUCUUGCUCUUAAUGGGACGUGAAGUUAUAGGAGGAGACACCCAUUUCUAGAUUUCAUGUCUCUAAAAGUCGAUUUAUUGAACAUAAAAUCCCGAGCAGUGUUUUAUAUAUUGGAGCUAAAUCAUGCGUGGACUUUUUGCACUCACGCCGGUGUGUUUAUAUUCGGUAGCAUCAGUGCAGUUGAUGAUUUGUGAAUCUUGAGCUCAUGUCCGAAUAAAGGCACGUGAAUGGCUUCGGUUCUCUGAAUCAGAUUGCGUUAUUUCUGCCGCAUGUUCCUUUUAGCAAGGAUUGAAUCAAACUAUGGCUUCUCUGCAUACUUUUUCAACCAACGGCCUAGCUUGCUUUUUAAACUGGACUCGUCCCGAGGACGAAUGCAACCCGAGAUCAGCAUGUCGUCGCUCCUUGAUUUUGAACUGCAUUCUGUGUCAUCAUCUCUUUUGAUAGAUUGAUGUCGACUGAAUCAGGAGUGAGAAAAUAUCUGCACCUUCACCAUCCAAUUAUCCACUAAACGAUUAGUACCAUUGAAGAUUAUGGAUCUUUAUUAUGGUUUUCUUUUCUCUUUUUCCUUGAUCAAAGUGCAAAAUAGGCGAGUCUAGACAAGCAAUUCCUUUCUUGAGCAUGAUUGCUUAGGCCGGUUGUAUACAAUUGAGUAUUUUCUUGAUUAGAAAUAGAUUUGAGCUAGCUUUUCGAUUAGAGCCUCCUGUAUUAUCUUGGCUCGCCCACGUCCAUUCCUCAAAAGAAACUACAUUCCUUAAUAAAAUCACAUUAACCUUAA